AUAUCAUUAAGCUACUUAAUUACUCAAAUAUAAGAUCAAACACUAUCAGCAUCAAUACAUUAUAUAAAUAGAGAACAAAUCAUACAGACCACAUUCAACAUUAGUCGAUAAAGCUGAAAACAGUAUGAAGUUGUUAGUUGCAGUAUGUGCUCUUGUAGCAGUAACAUGGGUUGGUAGAUCAGAAGGAUAUGAAUGUCAUUCCUGUACACCAGAAAGGAAAAGUCGGUGUCCUACUUUACGAGCUGAUUGUGAAGCUGUUCCUCCGGUAUGUGGUUGUUGUGAAAGAUGUGCUCGUAAAGAGAAUCAGAGCUGUAGUGGUCUUUACGAUCCGAGAUGUCAAACUGGUUUGAAAUGUGUGACGUCACCAAACGUGGACAAUCGAAGGAUUUCACUUUGGACUAGUCCAGGAAAAUGUCGCAGUGUCUAAACAUAAAGACCGGAAUGCAAAAAAAAUAAAAAUAAAAAAUAAAGUGUAUGAAAUAAAACAAAUGCUAAUGCUU